ensembl:lncRNA LINC03048 long intergenic non-protein coding RNA 3048
ACGGGACCAGGGGAUCAGUGGGCCUCUGAACAAGAGGGGCGUGCAGAGCGGCUUUUUGGCCUCAGUUAACUCUUAAAUGGGUGUCAGAGGCACUGUCUUCCCCUAGCUAUGCGCCUCGUGCCUGGGAGCCUUAGGGCCACACGGAAGGGUAGAAAUCAGUUUCAGGUCAGGAGGUCUGGAACAGCUUUGUUAAACCCAGUUUUUUUCCUAUGAAAAUGGCUGCAGACACUGGGGGAGGGAGAGGGUGGCCCUGAUCCCGAUGACUCUGAAACAUGCUUGGCCUUCCCCAGAGAUUCCUGCUCCCAGCCCAGGCCCAGACGGCAACAGAAGCUCAUGGGGAGUGAAGGGACAGGAUGGAGCGGGAGCGGCGCCAAAGCACGGGGAGAACCAGAGGCCGCAGGAAUGGCAGACUCUGGACAUGCUCCUAGAGAUGGGAGGUCAAAAUGAUCAACGUUCAGGGUCCCUUCAUCUCAGAGGGUCUCGAGUCACCUCAUUUAAAGUGUGGCCUGGGACACCUCCUAUCCAGCCAUACGCCGCCCAGGACUGGCUCAACAGCUCCACCCUCCACUGCUGUUCACCCAUGACACGUCACUUCCCACCCGCCACUGCUGGCUCACCUGUGACACCCCAGGCAGCUCAGAUGCCCGGCAGGUCCUGCUGGUGUGUGUUAGCCGGGGUCUCCAAAGAACCAGAGCCAGCAGGGGACACACCCAUCUCUGUAUCUGGAGAAAAAGAUCGAUGAGAAGGAAUCUGCUCCUGUGAUGAUGGAGGCUGACAAGUCCCGAGAGCCACGGUUGGCACCCUGGAGACCCCUGAGGGUGAUACCACCACUCCAGGCUGAAAGCUGGCAGGCUUGAGACCCUGGGAGAGCUGGCCCUCUGACUCCUGGGACUUCUUAUUCUAUCCUAGUAUUUCCUCAGCUGAGUGCAUGGGGCCAGACCACACUGGGGAGGGCAGUCAGCGUCACUCAGAGCACCGGGUCAUCUCAUGCAGAAACACCCUCAAAGAAAUAGCCCAAAUUAUGCUGACCAAAUAUCUGGGCACCCCGUGCCCCAGACAAGUUGACACAGAAAAUUAACCAUCACAGGUUAACUCCAUCCAGGAGUGGAAUUGCUGGGUCAUAGAGAAGGCAUAGGAAUUCACAGAAAUCACCAAACGGUUUUCAGGCGGUUGUGCCAUGUUAAACUCCCACUGGAAAGAGAGGAGAGCUGUGAUUGUUCCACGUCCUCAGCAACGUUUAGAAUAGGCAGUCUUUGGCCGGGCCGGGCACAGAGGCUCAAACCUGUAACCCCAGCACUUUGGGAGGCCAUAGUGGGUGGAUUACCUGAGAUCAAGAGUUCAAGACCAGCCUGGCCAACAUGGUUAAACCCCGUCUCUAUUAAAAAUGCAAAAAUUAGCCAGGCGUGGUGGUGCGUGCCUGUAAUUCCAGCUACUUGGGGGCUGAGGCAGGAGAAUCGUUUGAACCCAGGAGGCAGAGUUUGCAGCGAGCCGAGAUCGCGCCACUGCACUCCAGCCUGGGCAACAGAAUGAGACUCUGUCUCCAAAAAAAGAAAAAAUAAAUAAAGAAAAGUCAUUCUGUA